rnacentral:lncRNA from 1 species
CUUUAAGCCUUCAAUUUACUCUUGCGAGUUCUUUAUUCACAUUCAUGGUUUCCAUUCACUAAUGGCGCUUUUGCUAAACUUUCAGAAAGCGACCAACACAAGAACAGUUCAAUAAAAUUUCCCUUUUUUCUAAUCAUCGCAGGAAAGGAGAUGCAACGAGUGAAGGCCCUAAAUGUUUUGGGAAAAUCCACCUUGUUUACUAACAUAACGCAGACACCUCCAUUAGUCCCAACCAAGAAAUGAUGAGCGCGAGUCUAAUGACAAUAACUCGUGUUGCACUGAUGCACGGCCUAUUUCCAGCCUUCUGCUUCACAGGUUACAAGAUCUUGAGCAGAGCCUGUAGGCUUCUUUAAACAUUAAUAGUAUUUUUUUUUGAUAGCGAGCUUUUUACUUGGAUUAGCCCUCUAGGGAUCAAGAAGAAGAAGUCAUCCGGAACUGAACUUUGGUAUUCAUUUGGGUAUAAUCAGUUCAUACUAUCUGUACAUUUGUUU